UACGUAGGGGGCGAGCGUUGUCCGGAUUUAUUGGGCGUAAAGAGCGUGUAGGCGGCCACACAGGUCUGCUGUGAAAACUCGAGGCUCAACCUCGAGCUGUCGGUGGAAACCGUGUGGCUAGAGUCCGGAAGAGGAGAGUGGAAUUCCCGGUGUAGCGGUGAAAUGCGCAGAUAUCAGGAAGAACACCAAUGGCGAAGGCAGCUCUCUGGGACGGUACUGACGCUGAGACGCGAAAGCGUGGGGAGCGAACAGG
rnacentral:rRNA from 1 species